rnacentral:rRNA from 1 species
GAUGAACGCUGGCGGCGUGCCUAAUACAUGCCAGUCGAGCGAACAGACGAGGAGCUUGCUCCUCUGACGUUAGCGGCGGACGGGUGAGUAACACGUGGAUAACCUACCUAUAAGACUGGGAUAACUUCGGGAAACCGGAGCUAAUACCGGAUAAUAUAUUGAACCGCAUGGUUCAAUAGUGAAAGACGGUUUUGCUGUCACUUAUAGAUGGAUCCGCGCCGCAUUAGCUAGUUGGUAAGGUAACGGCUUACCAAGGCGACGAUGCGUAGCCGACCUGAGAGGGUGAUCGGCCACACUGGAACUGAGACACGGUCCAGACUCCUACGGGAGGCAGCAGUAGGGAAUCUUCCGCAAUGGGCGAAAGCCUGACGGAGCAGCGCCGCGUGAGUGAUGAAGGUCUUCGGAUCGUAAAACUCUGUUAUUAGGGAAGAACAAAUGUGUAAGUAACUAUGCACGUCUUGACGGUACCUAAUCAGAAAGCCACGGCUAACUACGUG